GGGAUCCUAAAGGAAAAUAUUUGUAAACUUCCAGCAUUAGAAACAGACUUAUUCCUACCUCCCUGACUGGUAUGCGUAUGUUUGGAAAUACUAGGCUUGUGCAAUUCUCAGUACUUGCAAAACUCAAGAACAUAAACCCUUGUUGCAAAAAGAGUGUACCCACCACUUUUUCUCUAUUAAUUAUUUUGUGCUUUUUCAAUACUCUGUAUAGAAGAUUCUAACAGUAAUUCCUGUCAGUCUUAAUGUUCCCAGGUGCCCAAAUGUUUGAAUGGAGCCACUGCAUCUGUUACAGACAAUGCUAAUAUAAUUAGGGCUAAUAUAAGAUUGGCCUGUAAGCAGACAUCUUUCUGAUAGCUGGCCCGCCACUCUUGAAGCCUGCAUUAGGACUUGAUACCAGGUCUUUUUCAGUACAUCCUAGUUUCAGGAAAUAUUGCCAUCUUGUGAUGGAAGGAAUACAGGAAUCACAAAUGGUUUAGUACUGGAGAAGCAAGGUGUAUCUCUGUGCUUCCUGACAGUCCCAGCAGAUGGCGCCUUCAACAUGUUGGCUAACUCAGACUAGCUGAGUUGAAUACUAUUCAGCAAUAAAAAGGAAUAAACUGCAUACACACACUACAGCAUGGAUCACCAUCAAAACAAAAGCAGCAAAAGAAGCUAGACACUAAAAGGGCAUUUAUACUGUGUCUGAAAUCUCCCUUCAGCUUCACAUCAGGCUACAAGAACAUCUCUUCCUGAGUAAGUCACUAGAUCGUCAAACUCAGUUGUUCCGGAUGGAAUGGAGAAUCUGCUCCCAGUGAAUACAUUUGGUUGGAGGUCUCAUUGGCAUUUAUAUGGUCUGAAUCAUCUAUCUGUAAGCCUUAUCCUUUUGGAAUGAGCUGAAUAUGGAUGUCUCCCACAUGCUUACUUGAGAAUACUGCUUCUAGACUCAGUGGUCUCAUAAAGGUUGAGAAACUCCUGUUUUGUUGCAAUGGUGAGACUGGAAAUUCCAUGAGGUAAACUUAAAGAGGUUCUUUCAUAUGGCAGCCUUAGGAAACUAAUACAUCUUAAUAAAGUUGAAAAUGUGCAUACUGAUGAUCCACAAUUCUCUUACUCUAGAAACAGUUCUCUCACACUCAUACAAAGAACCUAGUCUUCAAACUGAAUCUACCUGGAUAAUUCUAGGGACCUCAAUGGUAGGUGUUUCUGUGCAUGUAUGGAAAGCUGGGGGAGAACGGUAAGCUGAUGUGGUUUUGACUCCUCACCCUAGCUUCAACAAGUUGUUUUUAGUUCAGCUUAAAUUUUCCUUGAGUAAAGGGUCCCAUGACUAACAAUAAGCCUGAAAAGAACUGGAAUAAGAAAAUACUCUUUUCUAAAAUGAUGAAAUUUCCUUUCCAAAGUCCUUUGAUGUAAUUGAAACCUUUUUCUUUUUGCACCUGCUUUUUGUGAUAACUGUUUUUAUCUGUGUAGCAAUUAUAUGAUAAUUUUAUUUUAGUGAAACCUUUUUCUGCCCUGGUAUUUUUAUUCCUAUAUACGUCUUGGUUUAUUCUUGACAAAUAUUGAUGUAUCUGUUGUGUUAAUCAAGAUUCCAUUACUCACAUUUUUGUUAUCUACUUUUCACUAUUUUGUUAAUAAUUACAACCAAUUUUGGAUGGCAUGAGGUAUGAAUUGAAGUUUAUUUUUGCAUAUGGACAUCUAAGUGUUCCACCAUGAUUUGUUGUAAAGAUCACCCCUUUUCACUGAAUUAUAUAUGCACCUUUGUUGAAAAUCAGUUGAUUUGUUCUGUUGUCUCAUUGUUGUAUUUAGGUCAGUACCACACUGUUUUGAUUGCUGCAGUUGUAUGAUAACUUCGGCAUCAGGAAAAAAGCUGAUUUGAAAAAUAAUGACAGAAGUAAAUGUGAACUCAUUGCCAAGAGGAGAAGUCGAGUACAAGCAGAUCUUUAGUCAGACAAAUUCCUGUAUAAAGGAAAUAAAAAUACCAGAGAAGUGGUAACUAACUGAAAUAGAUGUGUCUGAUAUGGAGAGAGGGGAUGAAGAUGCUGUGGGACCUGCCUGCAGGUAAGUGGCCAAGUUCUACCCAAGCUGAGGAAGGGGUUGAAUAGACCAGCCAUCGAGGGUACUGUCCGUGUCAGAGGUGCUGAAGAUCCCUCCCAGGGGCCUCUGUUAUCCCAGCAUUAAUAUGUAUGACAUUGCCUUCUUCCUUCAUUCCCGCAUCCUCUGCCCUGAUGAAAGCACAUCAAAAAGGAAUGUAUGAACACCCCCUCCUUGAAUGAAUACAUGAAUGUAUCACAGAUGGAGGGGAUGUCUGAAUGUGUGGAGAAAGGGGCUUCUGAAGAGCCCUGAAGGCUGUGAUGGGAGAAAAAUCAAGUUGUCUCCUGUGUGCACUCGUCAUGGCCAAAUACUAUUGCUGUUUGUUUGUGGCCACUGAAUAUCAUGGGAAAAAGCAAAAAGCAGUUUUGAAGACUAUGAGUUAACUCUUUGACUUCAGAAAUUAAAUGGUGAUUAGACCAUGAUGUUUUCACUUUUUGAACUCAGAAAAUAAAGCCAUCUGUGCACCCCACAUCUGAAUCCACCAGUCACCUGUUUAUAUGAAGCUGCUCACAAAUCCUGGAUUAACAGACACCUGAGAAUAUGAGGAAUUGCUAGUCUUUUUUUCCGACUGUUCUUAGAUAAACACCUGUCUCAGAGUUCUGGAAGGCUGGUGAUAUGGCUUUUCUGUGUCCAGUUUGCCUCUUGGCCACUUACUAAUCCUUUCGCGUGUUUCAUGCAUGAGCCCUAGGAGGGUGUCUGAAGAGCAGAGGUCUCUUUCAUUUUUGCCCAGCUAACAAGUGCUGAGUGAUUUAUUUCCACAGCUUCAGAAAUGGUGCCUUAUUACAAACUGAGAAAUUGUGUAAUCUCAUAGUCUGAGGCUGAGGAGGGCUACAGUUCUUCAGCUGAGGAUGGAAAGGUGGCAAAAGCAGAAAGCAGUGUGGUUUAAAUGCUGUCUCAGACCUCACUGCUAAGACAGAAGAAAACCACCCUGGUGGAUUCUUUAUUCACUUUCUGUCUUGUUCUCUGGAAUGGGAACUCCAUAAGGGUACUAUCCCAUCACCUAGAAAGCAGGUAUCUGUCAGCUCUUUACAAUGAAUUAAUAACAUCUAUUCAUGUAAACACAAUCAUAAUCAUAUAAUUGCAGAUAUAAAUUAUUUAAUGGGGUGGGGGCAUUAUGUGAUACUCCUGUUUUAGCUGAGAAGAGUGGGGCUUGGCAAGUGUAAGUAAUUUGCCUCAGAUUUCCAGGAGGGAAGGGGGAUAGUUGUAUAGACCCGGUUAUGCUUUUCCCACAGGCCAUGCUGCUUUUGUAUUAUAAACAAUUACUUGUUUGCUUUCCCCAUUAAAAAAAAAAUCCAGUAAGUCCAUUAGUUGUAAGAAAUUACAAAUGGAAAAUCCAAGGAAUGGCAUAGAAUUUGGGGUCAUAUAUUACAUGCUAGAUAUAUUCUUCACAAUAAUAAUAAAAGAAGAAACUACCAAUAUUCUUAUUCUCAAUUUAAUUUCCUGCUGUGUGAUUUAAUGAAAUAAAUGCCUCCAUUACAGUCUACCUAAGAUGAAGCAAAUAUUUUGUCUCUUGCUAACAUUAUUAAGGAUUACACAUAC